ACCAACUCCGCUGGGAACAUGUAACGGCCGUCUGUAGUCACCGCUCGCUCUGCAAAAACCAACAAGCACUAAGUCGGCUUUCCUCAGCAUCCACUUUAUCAAAAGGUGGCAGGAGUGAGACAGUCAUACAGUUGGUUCAGCAGAGUCCUACAUAGUCUCAGCAGAUGGCUGUUCAUCAUGACUCUGGUCCUGCUCAAGGUUUCUUCCUGCUAACAGGAAGUUUGUCACUAUUACUUCUUAAUGCUGCAAGUGCUUUGCUCAUGGAUCUCUCUCUGCCUGGCAGCUGUCAGGAGUUCUUCCCUCUGAGUCGAAGCUCAGCUCACAAUCAAAAACAUUUUCAGUCAAGUUUUGUGGAAUGAUUUCAGUCACUGAGCUGAGAGGAGGAGCGGCACUGCCAUGAAGUGACUGAAGUUUCAAACAACCAUUGAAGGUGUUUUCUCGUGUGUCCGUUUCAUGUCGAGCAUCACAUUAUCAGCGACUGUACCUCUCUUCUCCACAGCGGCGGUACAAAGCCUGACGAAGCGAGGGACGGUGCUCUUCUCUCUCUCGCAGAGCAUCUCCAGACGACAUCCAAACACCUGAUCUGAAGGGUGACGAAAGACGGACACAAACACACUUUUUAUGUCAGUUCAGAAGUUGUUUUUCUUCCCUCCCUCAAAUAACUGUGCCAACACAUGAUGUAAGAGCUACAAGCCCCACUUCUUCUGCUGAUAAAUUGACUGUUCACUAUUGAAGAAAACCUCCAUGUUGGAUCUGUUCCCAGCAGAUAUGUCAGCUCAGCCUUGAUGAUGCAAUAAAACUAGUGUACUGUACUGUAUGUGCUAUACGGCUGAAAAAAUCUUACAUAGCCCUUUACUCCAGAGUGUGAUACUGAUCUACUGCUUAUGAUCAAACUGUCGGAUCUUUGAUUAGGACUGAAAUUUUCAUCAAAAAUGAGAUCUGAGAUCACUUGAUCACACUCUGCUUUUCAAAGUUUUUAGUUAGUUCAGUUUAUCUGAUAGCCACUCUUAAGUUUUCAAAGGCUGCAUGUUUUCAGUUUGCUGAAAGUCCAAUUAAAAAGUACAGAUUUAAAUACAGCUUUAAAAGAUAUAAAUUCUAGGACUCAUUCAGCUAAAGACAUAUUUAGCUGCAGGGACUACAAAGUAUAUAUGUGUUGGUAUUGUAUGGUAUGGUGCUGCAUUGUAUCAUUUAUUAUACAGUGCUGUGUCCUGUGAUAUUGUAUCAUUCUGUGUUGUGUUGUUUUGUAUCAAAUCUUAUACUAUAUCAUACAUACCACAUCCCAAUGUAGCAUAAAGUAUCAAGGUAUCUUUAUAUCUUAUUUGUUAACAUUGGAGCUUUUGAUAUUGUCGUUUUGAUGCAACCAGUGUGAGACACCAGGAAAUAAACAGCAUUGUUCGGCAUUCAUAUUUCAAA